rnacentral:lncRNA from 10 species
GGGGGAGGCUGUUGCAAAGGUAGAGAGGGAGAAGUGACGAUGGUGAUCGUUGCUGCCGCGGCCGAUAUGGAACCCAAGCAGUGGCGAAGGGAAUCGCAAGGCUCUUCCCUGACCAUUUUCUACUGUCCCUGCGCGAGGUGAGGGCCCCGGCUCGGCCUCUGCAAAACUUUGGGGCGCUGGCGCGGAGGAGGAGACAGGAUUUCUCCCGUGACUUUUGUAACUGCGUCAGGGCAAGAUGGCGCUGGGUCUCUUUGGGGCGCGGGGGGAGAGGCACGUCCACCGCCGCAGCGCAUGUGACCGGGCUGCAUUCCUGUGGGGUUUGGCUCCGACCCAGGCCGGGGCGGGGGAGGGGACAGGGCUUGGGCGGAGGAGACUGUGGUGCGGUCGGCGUUGGCGGCCUGAAGAGGAAGAGAUGACUGUUGGAAAGCGUUCCCCUCCCCCAUACGGCAGAACAGCUGCGGCUCCCAGGGGAAAGCCCCCGCAGGACAGUCCUCGUGGGGUGUGACGGCUGUUGGUGGAGAAGGUUUGGCGCCCUAUUUUCUUAUCUGCCUUUCUCCCCGCAAAGUAUACUUAUGUAAGGUGGUAGUUCCCUGACGUGGGACUCGGAAUCAACUAGGAGUCCUUGAGGGCCUCUGGGAGGCCUAGCGAGGGGUAGACCAGCUUCUGGGGGUACAACGUCAAGGAGGAUCGAUUACUUUCUGAGGAAACAGUUUCUCAGAUUGAAAUAGAAAAGUAUUUCCAAAGUUUGGAAACAAAUUUAAAGGUGUAAAUAACACCCAGGAACACUUUAAUUGCUUUGAAAAGGCAUAAGCAGCCAUCUGAAUUUAAGGGCCCUUUUCAGACUCUUCCUUCCUCCUGUGAUUCCUGUUCUUUAUUUCAGUUUUCUGUCUGUACAUCCCUUAAGAAUAUAGUUUUGUCGGUGGGAUUCGCUCUUUUGUGCCCAGGCUGGAGUGCAGAGGCGAGAUCUCGGCCCACUGCAACCUCCGCCUCCCCGGGUUCAGGCGAGUCUCCUGCCUCAGCCUCCCAGGUAGCUGGGAUUACAGGCGCCCACAACCACACCCUGCUAAUUUUUUCUAUUUUUAGUAGAGACGGGGUUUCACCCCAUUGACCAGGCUGGUCUCGAACUCUCGAGAUCCGCCCGUCUCAGCUUCCCAAAGUGCUGGGAUUAUAGGCAUGAGCCACCGCGCCGGGCCUGCUUUUUUUUUUUUUUUUUUUUUUUGCACUGGGCAUUAGUAAUACGGAAUAAAAGCCGUGUUUUAAACUGUAUUAAGUUGUAAGACUUUUCAGUACUUUCAAGUCUGCUUUCUUUCUGUUGCCCUUUUGUAGUUUUUAAAAAUAAAAGAUGCAAUUAUAAGCAC